GAUGAACGCUGGCGGCGUGCCUAAUACAUGCAAGUCGAGCGAACAGAUGAGGAGCUUGCUCCUCUGACGUUAGCGGCGGACGGGUGAGUAACACGUGGAUAACCUACCUAUAAGACUGGGAUAACUUCGGGAAACCGGAGCUAAUACCGGAUAAUAUAUUGAACCGCAUGGUUCAAUAGUGAAAGACGGUUUUGCUGUCACUUAUAGAUGGAUCCGCGCCGCAUUAGCUAGUUGGUAAGGUAACGGCUUACCAAGGCGACGAUGCGUAGCCGACCUGAGAGGGUGAUCGGCCACACUGGAACUGAGACACGGUCCAGACUCCUACGGGAGGCAGCAGUAGGGAAUCUUCCGCAAUGGGCGAAAGCCUGACGGAGCAACGCCGCGUGAGUGAUGAAGGUCUUCGGAUCGUAAAACUCUGUUAUUAGGGAAGAACAAAUGUGUAAGUAACUAUGCACGUCUUGACGGUGCCUAAUCAGAAAGCCACGGCUAACUACGUG
rnacentral:rRNA from 1 species